rnacentral:miRNA from 1 species
GCAUGUGUGUGUGUGUGUGUGUGUGUGUGCUCUGCCAGCCCACAUGCCUAGCCCUCACACUCACUCCAG